ACUCACUUCAUAUCCAACGUUUGUUUUGUUCGUCUUAUUUAAAUUUUUUUAAUUAGUAUUAUAAUUGUUACUAGAUUAUAAUAAUAUAUGAAUAGUAUUUUAUAUGUGAUUUUUUUUAUUUUUUAUAAAUUUUUUAAAUAAUAUGGACGGUCAAAUGUUAGACACGGAUGUCCACGACUGCAUUUAAA
rnacentral:pre_miRNA from 1 species